CCUAGAGUUGUAGGCUUUGCCUGCUAUCUCUUACCCAUGUCUUUUGAGUACCUUACGUUUCCUCGGUGGGUUCGCCCACCGAUUGGACAAACUUAAACCCUUUGCAGUUGAAAUCAGCGUCUGAAAAAACUUUAAUAGUUACAACUUUCAACAACGGAUCUCUUGGUUCUGGCAUCGAUGAAGAACGCAGCGAAAUGCGAUAAGUAGUGUGAAUUGCAGAAUUCAGUGAAUCAUCGAAUCUUUGAACGCACAUUGCGCCCCUUGGUAUUCCAUGGGGCAUGCCUGUUCGAGCGUCAUUUGUACCUUCAAGCUCUGCUUGGUGUUGGGUGUUUGUCUCCUGUAGACUCGCCUUAAAACAAUUGGCAGCCGGCGUAUUGAUUUCGGAGCGCAGUACAUCUCGCGCUUUGCACUCAUAACGACGACAUCCAAAAGUACAUUUUUACACUCUUGACCUCGGAUCAGGUAGGGAUACCCGCUGAACUUAAGCAUAUCAAUAAGCGAA
rnacentral:rRNA from 1 species